AGAAGUAAGCAAUGAAGCAACCCGUUCAAUCUGAUCAAUCUACUCCCUGGGGAGGUUGGAAAUCAAAUGAUGUGUACAACAAUUCAGGAUGUUGUUUGAAUUACUUGUCCUAACAGGUGCACAAGUUGGGAUGGAUUGGACUUCUAUCUUGAGAAAACGCCAUGAUUUCAGGUAGUUAUUAUUGUAAUGAAAAGUUAAAAAAUUAAAAGAGAGAGAUAAUGAAUUCCUGGAAAGAAAUGUUCUUUAUCAUUA